CAUCUCGCGUCCCCUCAUCAUCUCAGAGAACUACAGGUGUGGAAGUGAUCUGAUGUUUCAGCUAUGUCUGGUACGAUCACACUAAUGAACAAUUCAUCUAACCAUCUGUAACAGCUGGUCUGCAGGACUACGUCUGUCAGGUUCUAGAGCUGAAGCAGAAUCUAUGGAUGCAGCUAUGGCUGCAGGAGGCGUGAUGGAAGAUGGACAGGUGGAGGUCUCAAAGAUUCUGGACCUAAGGUGAAGCCUGACACUGUCCGAUUGAUGAUGUCCACCUGUUUGGAUCAGAACUUGGAGGAUGAGGAACAUCCAGAAAACUGACAGGAAGUUAUUUCAUGGAAUUAAAGAUGGAUUUUGAGUUGUGAUGGCUUCCAUGUCCACUCAGGUCUUCAGCUGGUCUCAGAUCAGAAAACUUAAUGAGCAG